UACGUAGGGUGCAAGCGUUAAUCGGAAUUACUGGGCGUAAAGCGUGCGCAGGCGGUGAUGUAAGACAGAUGUGAAAUCCCCGGGCUCAACCUGGGAACUGCAUUUGGGACUGCAAGGCUUGAGUGCGGCAGAGGAGACUGGAAUUCCCGGUGUAGCAGUGAAAUGCGUAGAUAUCGGGAGGAAUACCGAUGGCGAAGGCAGGUCUCUGGGCUGGCACUGACACUGAGAGACGAAAGCUAGGGGAGCGAAUGGG
rnacentral:rRNA from 1 species